CAUUAAUUGUCAAAAUUGUGUGAAUGUAUGUGUGCAUGCAUUAAUUGCGAAAAAAUUUUGUGUGUGUGUGCAUUAAUUGCCAAAUUGUUUGUUUGCGUGAACGCGUGUGUGUGCGUGAGCGCGUGUGUGUGCAUGCAUUAAUUGCCAAAAUUGUGUGCGUGGAUUAAUUACCAAAAUCGUGUGCGUGUGUGCGUGUGUGUGCGUGCAUUAAUUG
rnacentral:misc_RNA from 1 species